rnacentral:misc_RNA from 1 species
CACGCGACAACCGGCCCUCUCGCCCACCCCACACAUCCACACGCACACACCUCCUCGUUGGGGCCAUUCUUUCUUCGUCUUCUUUGGCAUUCAUAGACGGAAAGUUCCAGCUCAUUAUGCUGCGCCGCAUCGCAUACACGUUGCUGCCGCGCGACCCGCAGGAGGUGCGCCUCCUCCACCACACCAGUGGUGGAGUCGUCAUCGCAGCCGUGCGCUACAGGAAAACGUCGUCGCCGCUGUUCUUCACAGUUGUCGAGAUGGCGGCGCCGAACGAGCAGGCGCUGCCGCUGCGCGUGGUGCACGUGCGGGUGCCGCGCCCCGCCGCGGUGGUGAGCGCCGUUGCGCUGGUGCGCAGCGCAGACGGCGCGGAUAUCUACGUGAUUGUGCAGGCCGCUGAGAAGACGGACGCCGAAGCCGCUCCAGCCUCCGUCACGUCGUACGUCUACCGCCGCCAGAUAGUUGCCGUCGACGAGGAUGACGACGGCGACAAGUCGCACAACUACGCCGUCGAGGACGACGUGGUAUCCUCCUCUGCAGCAUCGGCGGCGGCAGCUUCCACGCGAGUGCGUUAUCAGCGGCUGCCGCGUGCGUUCGCCAGCGCCAGCGCGGCCACCUGGACUGCUGUGGCUGCAUUCAACCCCAGCGAGAACAUGCUGACAGAUGCGAGCUCAUCCGUUGGUGCAGCAGUCACCCCAACUGCCGCCUUUAUCACGGCCAGUGGCGGUGGUACAGACGUCCAGCUGCAGCUGUGGCAGCUGUGCGGCACCCGCGUUGCGCUAGAGGCGACAUGGCGGGUACCGGCGCUCGCCGGCUUCGCGGUGAAGGAGAUCCUGACGCUGCCCGGCACCCAGGACGUGGUGCUGCUGCGGCACCAUAACAGCAUUCUUGAGGUGAACCUUUCGGCUCUGCGCAGCGCGUGUGCGUACCGCAGCACCGUCACGGGCAACGCGUUCCUAUCACGCGCGUGGCGGUGGUUGGCGCACGAGCAGCUGACCGCCUGCGCCGUCAAGGAUGCGCUGCUGUACGCCGGGACUGAGGGGGGCGCGGUGCUCGUGUGGGACCUGCGCAGACCAACAUCCACUGCCGCCGCGGCCGGUCCAUGCGGCGGGCCGCCACCGCUGUGCAGCGCCGAGCUCAAGACGCCCAUCACGGGCUUGUACGCGCCGUACGCGACCGGCUUCAUCACGUGCGACGCCAGCGGCGGGGUACGAGACUGGCGAGAGCGGGGUGAGAUGGACAUGGGCGACAACCAGAACGAGGAGGCCGAGGAAGGUGCGCUGCGCGACGUGGCCGGCAUGGCGGCGUCGGCAGCGGCAGCGGCGACUCAGUUCCCGUACCGCUCGCGUGCGCCGGUGGAGAUGCCAACCGGUGACGAGGGCUGCGUUGCCCUCGAUGGCCACGACAAUUUCGCCGCCGUGGUGAGUGAGUGCGGUCGUCUGUGUCUCUACUUCUGCGACUAAUCGGUGAGAGGGUGGGAGAGGAGAGCGCCUUCGCUGUGUCGCUGGCGUGAGGCUUGUGCGUCGGUGCUCGCGCGUGGGGUGGCGCGAUGACGACGUUGGGGAUGAGGAGAAAGUGUCCUCCCUCGCUCGUAGGCAGUGCUGCGUUGCCGCACAUAAGCAGACAGAAAAG